rnacentral:rRNA from 1 species
GAUGAACGCUGGCGGCGUGCCUAAUACAUGCAAGUCGAACGCUGGAGAUCUAGCUUGCUAGAUCGAAGGAGUGGCGAACGGGUGAGUAAUACAUAAGCAACCUACCCACGAAGACUGGGAUAAUCUCUGGAAACGGGGACUAAUACCGGAUAGGUAAUCGGAAGGCAUCUUCUGGUUAUUAAAGGUUAAAAACACUGGUGGAUGGGCUUAUGGCGCAUUAGUUAGUUGGUGAGGUAACGGCCCACCAAGACGAUGAUGCGUAGCCGGCCUGAGAGGGUGAACGGCCACAUUGGGACUGAGACACGGCCCAGACUCCUACGGGAGGCAGCAGUAGGGAAUUUUCGGCAAUGGGGGCAACCCUGACCGAGCAACGCCGCGUGAGUGAAGACGGCCUUCGGGGUGUAAAGCUCUGUUGUAAGGGAAGAACGGUAGAUAGAGAAUAUCUAAGUGACGGUACCUUACCAGAAAGCCACGGCUAACUACGUG